UGUGUUUCUCAAGAAAAAAAAUAAAGAAGCAUUAGUUAUCAGAAAAAAUCCAGUCCUCUCAUCGCACAGCAUCCACUCUGCCCACCUCACAGCCUCGCACAUGUUGCUUCUCCCUGCCGCCUCCUCUCCUCACCACGGCUCGCCCUCGGCAUCCUCUCCCCACCACGGCUCGCCCCGCAGCCUCCACCUCCGAUACGACCUCGCGCUGCCAGCAAUGCUUCCGGUCUCCCCUGUAUCGACACUGCCGCCGGUGUCCAACCUCAGCGACGACGCCAGCCUGCCCGACGCAGCUCCUGGCCGCGGCGGCCUAGAACGCCGAGGUAUAGAAGCCUGCUCCGGCUGCCAAGCUGCCGCCCAACCUGCUCUGGUAAGUCUUGGGCUUAGGUCUCACUUCCAUAUAUCAGAACGAUUUAUCUGAAGUACUAAGUUUAUAUGAAGAAAAGAAAGCUAGGUUUUGUUUGUUCAGUCCUCAUGUGCUUUGUAGCCAAGCUUUUCAUUCUAGAAGCCUGCUAAUCUGCUAUAUUGUUAUGAUGGAAUUCUGUAUCUGAUUUGGAUGAAACAAAACUCAAGAGUACUUAUUACAAGCUAAAUACUGAGUGAAUUGCAUUUUAACUGAAGCAUUUUUCAUACAUUACUCAAUGUUUGUCAAUUGGGAUGUACUCAAUGUUUGUCCCUUCUCCACUGGACACCAACAGGGGGUUCCAUAUGAUACAAGACUCAAAGGUCUAGAUGAUGACAGAGGAACCAAAGGUCUAACACAGGAUGCUUCAAAGUCUCAUUUUAAAAGGUCAACAGGUUGAUGUUCUUUUUCAUAUCUCAUCUUGUCGGUCUGAUAUUUGAAAUAUCACAGAAUUAUUGUUCAGAUGCACCUGUUAUCUAAAUUAGUUCCUGCUGACACAUUCAGGCAGUACAAGUUUCACAAUAAAUCUAAUUCCACACAUACAACCAAUCUGUAGAUUAAUUUGGCACUGACGUUCGAUUAAGUUGAUUCCAGUGUAACAAUGAAAAACUUCUGGAGAACUCAUACCUUACGGCUAUUAUAAAUUUAGGUCAUUACUUCAGAUGAUAUAAUGAGAGAGAGGUCUAAAUUUAGGUUAUUACUACUUCAUCAGGACCAUAUACUAUUUAACAGUAAUACUACUUUUUAGAAGAUAAUUUGUCGUGCUUCUAGUGAACUGGCAACCCCGGCUAAAAUUUGAGGUCUGUUAAUUUAAGACAUACAAAUAAUUGAACAUGUUAAACAAAAUAAUCAGAAGCAAAGGUUCGGCGGCUCAUUGUAUCAACCAAUCCCGAAUUACUGGCUAAAGGUUCUAGAAUUUACAUUUUACAGAAGUAGUAAAAAAACAUAAUUUUUGUUUUAAAUUGAGUUGUGUCUGUAACACAAUGAUAUUCAGAGGACCCAAACUUGGGUGCUUCCAACGCUAUUACACACAAAGUUAAAUGCAUUGGCUUUAGAGAUACCUCGAUAGAUGCCAUUGGGUGGAGAAAUUAUUUUCAACAGGGCAUGAAGAGGAUUGUUUGAUGGUCAACAUUUGCAGGAGUAAGCUUGCUCAAGGAUUAGUUUUUGCCUUUUCUGAACAUGGACUUUGUGGAUGCAGAAGCUGCAUGAAUAGCAUUUAACGUUAAUCACAGAACGGCAGACAAAAUUCUAUAAUGUGCUGAAAUCUAACAAAAUCAAUAUUAAGAGCACUAUGAUUUAGACAACAAUGUUACAGACACAUGGAUUACCCCUUUCAAGCAAUCACAACCACGAAAGCGCACAGUCAAGGCCAGAAAAGGCGGGGUUCUACUUAUUUUAAAUCAUGGUUACCUCUGGCAAGGCUGGGUUUUGCUUACUUUAUUAAAUCAUAGGUACGAAAAUGCACACGGCUGGGUUCUGCUUAUUUUAGUGGCAAUCGCUGUAAAGUGGCUUUCUAGUUGGAUGUCUACAAAAUCAAAUAUCAUUCUAGAAUUAUUUUCUUUUGUUUCAGAUGUCAACUAUCAAGAAUAUAACCUCUGAACUAUCCACCAAGUUGUUCAAAACUUGACUUAGAAACAGAGUAAAGUUCACAUGGACAGUGAUAUUUUAGUCUGGCCACUACAAACCAAGGAAGCCUACUAUAGAAAAGCAAUAUUAAGCAUUUAGAGUAGUAUAUUCUGCUGGUUGAUGCUUUUUGCUAUAUAUUCCACAUUGUUGUAGUAAAACCAAUUUUUUAGAUAUAUUACUUGCUGUCGUUUCAGAGGUAGUUGCAGUCCAGCUUAAGCUUUGUAGAGUCAUAGCCUCACAGGUAACUCGGGAUGGUUGUAUUGCAAGCGUAGGAUUAAAAAGGAAACCCCCAGAUAAUAUAUUCAGUGCCAAAAAACAUGACCCUUAGUUGCCAGAGUCAGCUUAAACUCAUUCCAUUGCUUUGAAAAACAUGCAUGCAUGGUACCCUACCCAAUACCAAUUGGCAGGCCAACAUAUAAGAAGAAAUUUGUCUUAAUUGUAUUGCAGAUAUUUAGAGAGGCAUGUACUGAAUUUCAUUUGCACAAAAUAAAUUGUUGUAGAUUGACAAUUGUCAUAGAGAUUUUGUAUAGUCCUUCAUUCAAAUGGCCUAAAACUAACAUAAAAAUGUGGUAAUUCAUUGGCACAAAUGGAUUGCAUACAGUACUCUCAAGACUGCAAUACAAUAGCAAUUGGCAGGCCAACAUUCAGAGAAGCAUGUACUAAACUUAGGUUGUAGAAAUUCAGAGAAGCAUCUGCUAGAUUUAGCAAGUAGAAAUUCAUAGAAGCAUGAGAUGAGGAGCCGAGUCUACCUUUUCCUGGAUGUUGUCUACCUUUUCCUGUUAUAGUAAACGUGCACGUGCAAAUGCACGUAUCUAAAUAAAAUUGAUCCUUAUUCAGUUGUUACGUGGUAUAAAUCUGAACAAGAAAAUCACUAAAUAAUAUAUACUCCCUCCAUAAACUAAUAUAAGCACGUUUAGAUUACUACUUUAGUGAUCUAAAAGCUCUUAUAUUAGUUUACAGAGGGAGUAUCUUUUAUUCAAAAUUGUUGCCUCACCUCAGAAAUGCAAAGCAAGCAAUAUUCUAAUGAUCAUUUACAUGCAAGCCACAUAUUGAUCAAUGCAAAUAGCGCAAAAACAUACUUCAAGCACAGGAAACUUUUUGUAUACACAAUUUUAUGAGGGCUAAGCAAAAUCAUUGAAGUGCUCCUUGCAUAUACAAUAUUAUAAUUUAUAAAUAUAAUUCUAUAAUUUCUAGACUUACAAUAAAUAAGGAAAUCCUACUACUAUAGAGGUCUUGUUUGAAGAUGACACCAUUCAAAUAUGUUCACACAGAUUAUUUUGUUACGGGAAUAUGUUCACAUGGUUCACAUCAAACAUCCCUAACGAACUCUUUAUAUUAAUAUUUCAAAUGACUUACAUAACUUCCACUAUACAUUAAAAAACUGAAAACACGGCUAUGCCUAUAUGGUCUAUGCCUAUAUGAUUGGAUUAUAGUUCCAUGCGCGACUUGAUUAUGUUGUUUGAUGCUCCAUCCAGAUGUAACUCUUCCAUAUAACAAAACAUACUUUGUAUCACUCUUCACAUCUUCUCGUUGAUGGCAAAAACAUGACUAUCGUCACACCUAUGCCACCGCUUCAUAUCCAAACGCAAGAUGAAAUGAAUGGAAGAUGGUAAGUACCUGUCAGCAUCUUCCUUACUCCCAAGAUUAUGCUUCCUCCUCUCUUUCCUUCCUCUCCCGAUUCUUUUUGUCAAACGAACAACAUGAAUUGAAAAUCAACCAAGCAAAUCAGAAAUGAGAAACAAAAUAUGAAAACAUGAGUAAACCUUAUCUCACUUCAAUGCAAAUCACGGAUGAUCAUGGGCGCCCUGCCACUGAUUAUGUUAAUACUUGUUGGAAAGGUCAACCUGUACACCAUGUAAAAUUACCUACAAGGUUCAGCUCUGGUGGUUCUGCAAGCAAAUAUCUUGUCUGGAUAUGAUAGUUCUAGGGACAAACCUGAAAACUUUAUUGUAUGCCCCUAUGCACUGUGAGGCCUUGUAGUUUUAGCUCGCCCCAACAGUAUGGAUAUGAAAAUUAGGUAUCAACAUGAAAAUAUGUAAGAUGAUUCUAUAUAUCUUUAUAGGUGGAGAAGAAAUUACGAUUAGAAGUUGU
rnacentral:lncRNA from 1 species